rfam:Buceros rhinoceros silvestris contig132692, whole genome shotgun sequence.
ACCAUGGUUCUUUUAAGAACCACUUAAAAGACCCCACCAUGGGUCAU